CCUGGCUGGGCUUGCCCACAUGCACUGCCAGGACCACCUCCCCAGCAACUGCCUGCCACUAUUUCACCACGGCUGGUUUAUGUUCAUUCUCAUGAUCAUCCUGACCACCUUCCUCUGUGGCCUCAACAACAUCUAUAUGUCCUACCAGGAGACGGAGCAGCUGGGCAAGUAUGCAGGGGCAGAGGCAGGAUGGGAGGUGGAGAGCCUGGGACCUUGCAGCUUGGAGCCCUAGUGAUCUCUCCUUUUUCCCUCCCUCCCUCAUUUAUUCACUCAACUAAUUCUCUUGUUUGCUCACUCCCUCUUUGAUUCUGUCACUCUUUCUUUUGUUCGUUUAUACAUUCAUUAAUUUACUAAUUUUCUCCUCAAACUUUUUAUUUUGAAAAAUGUCAAUCCUAUGAAAACUACAGUGGAUACCCCUAAACCUUUCACCCAGCUUCACCAAUUGUUAAUGUUUUACCACACCUGCUUGAUAUGUUGCUCCCUUUAUUCUUUUUUUUUUCCUGAAACACUUAAAAGGAAAUUGUAAAUACAAUGACACUUCAUCCCUAAACAGUUCAGGAUGUGUUUUAAGAACAUAACCACAAAAGCAUUAUCAUACUCAAAAAAUUUAACAUCAUACCAUUAUAUAUAUGUAUAUAUUUAUAUUUAUAUAUAUUAAAUAUAUAAAUAUGUAUAUUUUUUGAGACAGAGUCUCACUCUGUUGCCCAGCUGGAGUGCAGUGGCUCAAUCUCAGCUCACUGCAACCUCUGCCUCCCGGGUUCAAGUGAUUCUCCUGCCUCACCUUCCUGAGUAGCUGGGAUUACAGGCACACCACCAUGCCUGGCUAAUUUUUGUAUUUUUAGUAGAGACGGAGUUUCACCAUGUUGGCCAGGCUAGUCUUGAACUCCUGACCUUAUGAUCCGCACGCCUCGGCCUCCCAAAGUGCUAGGAUUAUAGGCAUGAGCCACCGCGCCCGGCUUCAUGCCCUUAUAUUAUUUACUAUACAGUCCUUAUUGAUAUUUCCCCAGUUGCCUGGAAAAAAGACUCUCUAGUUUUAAAAAUCAGAUAUCCAAUCUAGGAUCAUAUGUUACAUUUUGUUGUGAUAUCCCUUUGGCCUCCUUUAAUCUCGAACACACCCCAACCUUCUCUUUGUCUCGCAUGAAGAGUGUAGACCAAAUUGGAUUUAUCUAUUAUUAUUGAUCAUGGCCAGGCGCCGGUGGCUGCGCCUGUAAUCCCAGCACUUUGGGAGGCGAGGCAGAAGGCGGAUCAUGAGGUCAGGAGAUGAGACCAUCCCUGGCUAACAUGGUGAAACCCGUCUCUACUAAAAAUACAAAAAAUGGCGGUAGCGUUGGCUCAAACCUGUAAUCCCAGCACUUUGGGAGGCGAGGCGAGGUGGAUCGCGAGGUCAGGAGAAUCAGACCAUCCUGGCUAACACAGUGAAACCCGUCUCUACUAAAAUACGAAACUAGCCCGAGGCCAGUGGCGAGCCUGUGGUCCCAACUGGGAGGCUGAGGGCAGGAGAAUAAAGUAAGCCGGAGGCGGAGCUUGCAGUGAGCUGAGAUCCCGGCACUGCACUCCAGCCUGGGCGACAGAGCAAGACUCCGUCUCAAAAAAAAAAAAAAAAAAAAAAAUACAAAAAUUGACCAGCUGUGGUGAGGCCUGCAGGUGUAGCUACUCGGGAGGUUGAGGCAGGAGAAUGGCAUGAACCUGGGAGGCGGAGCUUGCAGUGAGCCGAGAUUGUGCCACUGCACUCCAGCUUGGGCAACAGAGCAAGACUCCCGUCUCAAAAAAAAAAAAAAUUAUUGAUCAUAAUUAGAUUCAAGUUAAGCAGUUUUGGCAAGAACAUGACCUAGCUGAUUGUGUGUACUUUCCACUGCAUCACAGCAGAAGGUGCAUGAUGUCAGUGUGGCCCAUUGGUGAGGCCCAUUGCUCUAGCGAAGUCUUCAUUGUAAUGGUACCAGGGAAGCCCUUUUAGUAACAGGAAGCUAUGUUGAGACGGUGUGACAACACUGCUCCCUCAAAAGCUUUCACCCAGUGGAUUUAGCAUCCAUAGAUGAUUUUUACCUGAACUGGCUAUUAUAACAGUGGUUUCAAGAUCGUGAUUUUCUGCCUCUGUCAUUUCUUCUACAUUUAUUCACUGGCAUUCUUCUGUAAAGAAGUGCUUUCACCUACUUUCUUUUUUUUUUUUUUUUUUGAGUCAGAGUCUCACUCUGUCACCCUGGCUGGAAUGCAGUGGUGUGAUCUUGGUUCACUGCAACCUCCACGUCCUGCCAGGUUCAAGCAAUUCUCCUGCCUCAACCUCUUGAGUAGCUGGGAUUACAGGCCUGUGCCGCCAUACCUGGCUAAUUUUUGUAUUUUUAGUGGAGACGGGGUUUCACCAUGUUAGCCAGGAUGGUCUUGAACUACUGCCCUCAGAUGAUCCGCCCACCUUGGCCUCCCAAAGUGCUGGGAUUACAGGCAUGAGCCACUGCAUCCAGCCUUUCCUCUUUUUUUGAAUAUCACUAUGGACUCAAUAUGAUAAUCCAUUACAGUCAUUAUUCUUUUGGGUGUUCGAUUCUUUCUAAAUGUGGCUAAUAAUUAAUUGGUAUAUUUGUGUAUUCACUCAUGUAUUGUUCAUUCACUCCCUUUAUUUAUUUAUUUAUUUAUUUAUUUAUUUAAGAUGGGGUCUUGCUCUGUUGCCUAGGCUAGAGUGCAGCGGCGCGAUCUCGGUUCAUUGUAGUCUCUGCCUCCCAGGUUCAAGCAAUUCUCCCACCUCAGCCUCCUGAGUAGCUGGGAUUACAGGCACACCACCACACCUGGCUAAUUUUUGUAUUUUUAGCAGAGACGGGGUUUCACCAUGUUGGCUGGGCUGGUCCUGAACUCUUGACCUCAGGUCAUCCACCCUCUUCGGCUUCUCAAAGUGCUGGGAUUAUAGGCGUGAGCCACCGUGCCCAGCCCACUCAUUCACUUUUAAAAAAAUUUUUUUCUUUUUUUUAGAGACAAGGUCUUGCUCUGUCACCCAGGCUAGGGUGCAAUGGUAUGAUCAUGGCUCAUUGAAGCCUCGACUUCCUAGCCUCAAGCCAUCCUCCCACCUCAGCCUUCC
ensembl:lncRNA